UUUGAGAAGAAAAAAAAAAAACAAGUAGGCCUGUCAAAGCACCAGGUUUAAAUAGGCGCUUCCUACCUACUUCACUUUACUAGCUUUGUAACCUGACCUAAGUUCUUGCAUGACACCUCUGGGCCUCUAUUUUCUCAUCUAUAUACUGGGAACAUCAGCAGCAAAGUCUCAAUUUAGGGGCUGUUGUAAAAUCACAAGUGCAGGCUCAGUGGUGGUGGUACACACCUUUAAUCCCAGCACUCGGGAGGCAGAGGCAGGCGGGAGGCCAGCCUGGUCCACAAAGCUACACAGAAAAACCCUGUCUCGAAAAACCAAACCAAGAAAAAAAACCCAAACAAACAAAAGUGCAUGUGUGUGAAGAAAUGUUUUGUAAUGACUGGUUGAGUACCAUUACCUUGUUGAAAUCUAAGGUUCACCCUUUCUUUAUGUGCUCAUUACUACCAUUUAACCAAUUAAAACUCACCUCCAUUCCAGAGAUGGUAAAAUACAGAGAAUGCAUGUAUUCUCUGCCUGAUGAGGCUAGAAAUAAUCUGUGGAAACAUGAAAAUCUGGAACAAACAAGGAAAGGUCCAAAGGAGCAGGAGCUAUUGUUACAAACUGUCAGUGGCCUGAAAGAUUGGCAUCCAAGAUUGAGAAUGAUACUUUGAAUUAAUUACAUAGCACCUUGCAGGUUAGGAUGUGGCUCAAUGGCAAAGUACUACCUAGCAUAAGGGAGGCCCUGCAUUCUAUGGGGGUGGGGCUACAAUAAUAACACCUCAGGAGCAUCUAGACAGUCCCAUAAUUAAGUAAAUUAAUAUUUCUCUGAUUAAAUAUAUGAAUAUUCAACCCCAGAACAAAAACAGUACAUUAGAUUAGGUUAUUAAAAGCAAAAUAACAUCCUUUACUUUUUGAGCAAUUUGGAUUGUCUGAGUUUUAGACUAAAGCACUAACAAGUACUGUUGAAGUGCUUCUUCCAAGUGCUUCACACGGAGGAACUACCAAAACCUUUCCUCUUUUCCAGGUUAGGAAACCAAGAGGGACAUGAAGUGACUGCUGCUGAGUGGUAGGGCUGGGAUCAACCUCGGGCAGGCUGGCAAGGAUCAGCUUCUAUCGGCUCUACUAUACUUACUGCCUCGCAAUCUUUGAGGGACCAACACCAUCAGAAGGAUUCACAGGUCUGAGGGUACUAGAAUGCCUGGAUCUAAGCAGGUAGACCAUGGCAAGACAGUGGUCAAGAAACAAUAUGGAAAGAAUGGAUGACAGAGGGAAAGGUAAGGAAGAGAUGAGAGGACUCCUGGAAGCCCUGCUACUUCCAUAGUGAAGGGGCAAGAACACUACAUUCAAAAGAUUGAGCCUUCCUGUGGGGUAUAGGUGCUGCUUCCUAUAAGAUCCUGUGUGUAUAGAGGGCUUUUCUUCUACCUUGGGCAAUAGAAUUAUACUGACUAGCUUCCUGAUUGGGAUCUUCUAGAAAGAUGUCUAUAUUCCAAACUAUCCAAAUCACUCUGAGGUGAAGACACUUCUGGAGUGUGGCAAGCUCAAGCUUCCUUCAGGUCAUAAGAGUGGAAGCUCGCAGGGUAGUGGUGGAGUACCUUUAAUCCCAGCACUCGGGAGGCAGAGCCAGGCUAGGUUGAGGCCAGCCUGAAAUACACAGAGAAACCCUGUCUCAAAAAACCAAAAGAGAAAAAAAGAGCAGAAGCCUCUCCUAGUCACCAGUGUUGUUGCUACAAGUGGACAUCCUCUGAUGUGCCCUCUGGCCAGUUACUGUCACUUUCCAAGCAAAUAACAUCUAGAGGGAAUCUAUGAAAAUACAUAGACUAUAUCAUGACAAAACACACAUUUAAACAAUCAAGAUCCAGGGAAGCUAAAUCUCUCAAACAGUGAGAUUUGUCUACACAAAGAACAUGCUGGGCAGCCAGGCGUUGGUGACACACACCUUUAAUCCCAGCACUCUGGAGGCAGAGGCAGGUGGAUCUCUGUGAGUUCGAGGCCAGCCUGGUCUACAAAGUGAGUUCCAGGACAGCCUCCAAAGCUACACAGAGAAACCCUGUCUCAAAAAAAAACCAAAAAAAAAACCAAAAAAAAAUGUUGAGGAUGUGACAGUGACCUGAAGGCCCUAAGGUACAAGAAAGGCACAAAAGGGGGAUAAAAUCCUAGGGGCAGAAGUCAGUAUGUGAGCAGGAGAUCCACCAAAACACAUAUACUAGGGUGUUUACAAACCAGGUAAACCUAGACAAGGCAUGGUGGCACAUGCUUGUAAUCCUAGCACUGGAGGACUGUGAGCUCAAAGCCAACCUAUGCUACAGAGGGAGAUUCUGCCUAAAAACAAUGUAUACUAACUCCUAAUGUGUUAAGUUACAAAGAUCUGGGGAUUAUUGAUUUUAAAAAAGCUAGCCUGCAUCAUGUGCCAUCCAGCUUUUCCCCAGGGUAACCUAAAAAUCUAGUUCAGUGCUUCUCAACCUUUGUACUACUGCUACCUUUUAAUACCAUUCCUCAUGCUGUGGUGACCCCCCAACCAUAAAAUUAUUUUCAUUGCUACUUGUCAUUUUGCCACUGUUAUGAAUUGUAAUGUAAAUGAAUUGUAAUAUAAAUAUCUGUUUUCUGAUGAUCUUAGGUGACCCCUGUGAAAACCCCAGGGGUUGCAACCCACAGGUUGAGAACCACUGGUCUAGAGGAUCUUGCCAAACCUCCAUCCAAGUUGAGCCUACAUGCUACUUUAGAUUUACUGUUUGUGAUACAAUGACCCUAUCACAAAAUGAGGAGAGAACUUGCCUUUUCAGGUGAUGCAACCCUAUGCCCAGACCGCAUAGCUUUGGAAAGGUUUGCCACCUGAAGCUCGGGUCCCACUUUCUUUGCUGUAUGCCCUCAUGAAGCCAGUUGAGGUUCAGAAUCUCAAUCUUUGUAUCCCGCAAGUACAAGUGGAAAAGACAUUCUUUGAGGAUUCAUUCUGCCUAUAUUUCUGAGAAAGCUACUUGAUUUCCUUGCCUGUAAAAUGGAAAUAAGACAGUCAAUUCAUCCCAUUUUACCCCAGGUACUCGACUUCAAAGUCAUAAAGAUUCUUCUUAGAAACGCCAAGGGCGGGACAAGAAAGCUUGGCCAGUCGGCACAGAUCCUGAAGCUGAUUCCAGGAUGAUUUGCAACAUACUCUGCAGCCUGGAAUGAGAAGGCCUAG